rnacentral:rRNA from 1 species
UCAGGAUGAACGCUGGCGGCGUGCCUAACACAUGCAAGUCGAACGGAGAUUAACGCUGAUGAAGCUUCGGCAGAUUCUGUUAAAUCUAGUGGCGGACGGGUGAGUAACGCGUGGGCAACCUGCCUCAUACUGGGGGAUAACAGCUGGAAACGACUGUUAAUACCGCAUAAGCGCACGGUAUCGCAUGAUACAGUGUGAAAAACUCCGGUGGUAUGAGAUGGGCCCGCGUCAGAUUAGCCAGUUGGCAGGGUAACGGCCUACCAAAGCGACGAUCUGUAGCCGGCCUGAGAGGGCGGACGGCCACAUUGGGACUGAGACACGGCCCAAACUCCUACGGGAGGCAGCAGUGGGGGAUAUUGCACAAUGGAGGAAACUCUGAUGCAAGCGACGCCGCGUGAGUGAAGAAGUAUUUCGGUAUGUAAAGCUCUAUCAGCAGGGAAGAUCAUGACGGUACCCGACUAAGAAGCCCCGGCUAAUUACGUGCCAGCCGCCGC